UGAAUUUCAUAUUCAUGGCAAUGGAUGGAGACUAACAACAGUGCUUCUUAUAUGUUAAGGAAAGACAAAGAAGCCUUCCGGAAGUGAAUUUGGCAGCUUUGACACGAAGAUCCACUAUAUUCAGGAUGUAGGGGUAGGACAAAGGCACAGUUCUUCUCUUCUUCUACACUGAGCUCUCCCUAGCCCAUCAGAUGGAACUCGGAAAAUGGGGUUUCUCUUCGUAGCUUAAAUUUCUAGAGAUCCACCUGCCUCUGCCUCCCGAGUGCUGGUAUUAAAGGAGUGUACCACCACUGACCAGAAAGAGAAACAUGAUUCUACCUACAGCUUAGACCUGAAAUGGCUGAAACUGAUCCUCACCCAGUCUCCCUGGUUUCACCUGGAAAAUUAAGGACUUGAUCUGGAUGAUUCGAAGGGUUCCUCCCAGCUUACUAUUCGGGAUUUCUUUAUAAUCUAUGGCAUUACUGCUUUUACUGUGUACUCCAGUGGCUCUAUCAGAGCAGGCGGGAUAGUUUUGAGAAGAAACUGAAACUGUCUCCUGGGAAGAGUUUUCUUUUAAUAACCAUUAGGACAACAGGAACAUUGUGUUUUUUUAUUAUUAAAUUUGUCUGUUUCCCAGUGCUGAUAGCAUCUUCUGAAUAUAAA
rnacentral:lncRNA from 1 species